GCAUAUCAAUAAGCGGAGGAAAAGAAACCAACAGGGAUUGCCCCAGUAACGGCGAGUGAAGCGGCAACAGCUCAAAUUUGAAAUCUGGCCCUUACGGGUCCGAGUUGUAAUUUGUAGAGGAUGCUUUUGGCAAGGCGCCGCCCGAGUUCCCUGGAACGGGACGCCACAGAGGGUGAGAGCCCCGUCUGGCUGGCCGCCGAGCCUCUGUAAAGCUCCUUCGACGAGUCGAGUAGUUUGGGAAUGCUGCUCAAAAUGGGAGGUAUAUGUCUUCUAAAGCUAAAUAUUGGCCAGAGACCGAUAGCGCACAAGUAGAGUGAUCGAAAGAUGAAAAGCACCUUGAAAAGAGGGUUAAAUAGUACGUGAAAUUGUUGAAAGGGAAGCGCUUGUGACCAGACUUGGGCGCGGCGGAUCAUCCGGGGUUCUCCCCGGUGCACUUCGCCGCGUCCAGGCCAGCAUCAGUUCGUCGCGGGGGAAAAAGGCUUCGGGAACGUGGCUCCCUCGGGAGUGUUAUAGCCCGUUGCGUAAUACCCUGCGGUGGACUGAGGACCGCGCAUCUGCAAGGAUGCUGGCGUAAUGGUCACCAGCGACCCGUCUUGAAACACGGACCAAGGAGUCGUCUUCGUAUGCGAGUGUUCGGGUGUCAAACCCCUACGCGUAAUGAAAGUGAACGCAGGUGAGAGCUUCGGCGCAUCAUCGACCGAUCCUGAUGUUCUCGGAUGGAUUUGAGUAAGAGCAUACGGGGCCGGACCCGAAAGAAGGUGAACUAUGCCUGUAUAGGGUGAAGCCAGAGGAAACUCUGGUGGAGGCUCGCAGCGGUUCUGACGUGCAAAUCGAUCGUCAAAUAUGGGCAUGGGGGCGAAAGACUAAUCGAACCUUCUAGUAGCUGGUUUCCGCCG
rnacentral:rRNA from 1 species